GACGAACGCUGGCGGCGUGCUUAACACAUGCAAGUCGAACGGUAAGGCCCUGCUUUUUUGUGGUGCUCUAGUGGCGAACGGGUGAGUAACACGUGAGUAACCUGCCCUUGACUUUGGGAUAACUUCAGGUAACUGGGGCUAAUACUGGCUAGGAGCUCCUGCUGCAUGGUGGGGGUUGGAAAGUUUCGGCGGGUGGGGAUGGACUCGCGGCUUAUCAGCUUGAUGGUGGGGUAGUGGCUUACCAAGGCUUUGACGGGUAGCCGGCCUGUGAGGGUGAACGGGGACAUUGGGACUGAGAGACGGACCAGACGCCUACAGGGGGCAGCAGGGGGGAAUAUUGCACAAUGGGCGGGAGCCUGAGGCAGCAACGCCGCGUGCGUGAUGACGGCCUUCGGGGUGUAAACCGCUUUCGCCUGUGACGAAGCGUGAGUGACGGUAAUGGGUAAAGAAGCACCGGCUAACUACGUG
rnacentral:rRNA from 1 species